rnacentral:rRNA from 1 species
CAGCUCAGGACGAACGCUGGCGGCGUGCCUAAUACAUGCAAGUCGAGCGGACAGAUGGGAGCUUGCUCCCUGAUGUUAGCGGCGGACGGGUGAGUAACACGUGGGUAACCUGCCUGUAAGACUGGGAUAACUCCGGGAAACCGGGGCUAAUACCGGAUGGUUGUUUGAACCGCAUGGUUCAAACAUAAAAGGUGGCUUCGGCUACCACUUACAGAUGGACCCGCGGCGCAUUAGCUAGUUGGUGAGGUAAUGGCUCACCAAGGCAACGAUGCGUAGCCGACCUGAGAGGGUGAUCGGCCACACUGGGACUGAGACACGGCCCAGACUCCUACGGGAGGCAGCAGUAGGGAAUCUUCCGCAAUGGACGAAAGUCUGACGGAGCAACGCCGCGUGAGUGAUGAAGGUUUUCGGAUCGUAAAGCUCUGUUGUUAGGGAAGAACAAGUACCGUUCGAAUAGGGCGGUACCUUGACGGUACCUAACCAGAAAGCCACGGCUAACUACGUGCCAGCAGCCGCGGUAAUACGUAGGUGGCAAGCGUUGUCCGGAAUUAUUGGGCGUAAAGGGCUCGCAGGCGGUUUCUUAAGUCUGAUGUGAAAGCCCCCGGCUCAACCGGGGAGGGUCAUUGGAAACUGGGGAACUUGAGUGCAGAAGAGGAGAGUGGAAUUCCACGUGUAGCGGUGAAAUGCGUAGAGAUGUGGAGGAACACCAGUGGCGAAGGCGACUCUCUGGUCUGUAACUGACGCUGAGGAGCGAAAG